GGGGCCCUGGUAGACAGAAGGAUGCACAUGAGCCAGCAAUGUGCCCUUUGUGGCCAAGAAGGCCAAUGCCAUCCUGGAAUGGAUUAGAAGGGCUCCCAGGAACUGCAGAAUCUCAUCCAAGUGCUCCCACUAACACUGUGUGCACUGCCAGCCCCUCCUCGUGCUCCCAGCGUGGCUCCAGUGUCCACUCAGUGCCCCAAGUGACCCCCAACUUCCUAGGCCUCCUAGUUAUCCCCGUGUCAUCUCAGUCCCUCUCAGUGCUUCCAGCCCCUCCAAAUUCCCUUGCCAGUGCUCUCCCCGUUUUCUUAGUGCCCCGAGUAACCUCUAGAUCUCCUUGCCAGUGCUCCCCAUGUGGCCCCAGUGACCUCCCUGUUUCUCCCAGUAUCCCAAACUCUCUUGCAGUGCCAGCAGUAACAGCAACUGCUGCCCAGUUUCCGUCAGUGCUGCCAGUAACAGCCAAUGCCUCCCAGUGCUCCUGGUGACCCCAGUCCCUGACAGUGCUCCCCGUCAUUCCCAAAGCCUUUCCCAGGGCUCCCAGUAAUGCCCAGUGACCUCCCAAUCCCACAUAACUCCUCCCCGGGGCUCCCAGUAACGGCCAGGGUUGCUCAGGUCCUGAGGACACGCAGCUGCAGUGGUGUCUGCUGUCAGCUCGUGGGGGAGGUGCCUGUGGCUGCCUGUCCGAGAGUGCCUGGGCUCUUAGUGGAGCUGUUGGGCAGCAGUAACCUUUGUCUCUCUUUUCUUGCAGUGCCCCCAGAAAGGACUUGGAGUGGCAGAGGUUCUGAGAGCUGGAAGCAUCCCAUGGUUUAAUGCAUGAGAGCAAGAAGCAGCAGAGAGUCGUGGCUGCCAGUGAUAAGUGCAGGGCCUGCAGGGCGAUGUCAGGGUAGUAAAUGUUGGGGGACAUGCGAGAGGGUGGGAGCUGCAGCCCUGUGCGGCAGCUCUGAUAGAAGACAAAAGCAGCCGGGGCUCAGCCGUGUGCCAAAGGUGCAAAAGUUAGGCAGAAGGAUGUCCCUGGCUUGGGUGGAGAAGAAGGAGCAGAGCCUGUCAGCUGUCCUUGUCUCUGGCUUUCUUUCCCUGACACCAUACAGGGGGUGAGGGCUGUGACGAUGAAGCAGAGGAGCAGGUGAGUGAGGGGUGGGGGCAGCCUCCCUUGCAAGGGUGCUUGCAGCCCUGCACGUUUGAAGGGCCUGAGAAUUCUUGGAGGGGAUUAAAACACACUGCAGACUGCGUUAGUGGGAGGUGCUCCAGGAGAAGACGAGCUCUGUUUUUCCUCUAGCUCCUGCAAAACGGCCUUAAUUCUCGUGUCAACAGCUCCCCCUGUGUCUCCUCUGCUGUCUAUAAAUCCCUCCAGAGUAGAUCAAGGAAGUGCUGAGUAGCCCCAGCUGGAGUUGAGAGCUGUCCCUAUAAAGUGCUUGGAGAGUACAAGCCCUCAGCGGUGUGCGGUGAUGGUGCUGUGCAGGCCAAGGCAGGCUUUGAGCAGGAUGUCCGAAGGAAGCAGCUCUGCGGUGCCGGCAGAAGCUGGAGCGGCAGCUGGCAGCCCAGCACAGCUCUCUCCAGCAAGCAUGGAAUGAGCUGAAGGAGCAGCAGGAGCAGCAUGGCCAUUCCCCAGGCAGCAGGAGGGUUCAGCCCAGCACCAGCUCAUGCGGGAGGAGCAGAUGCUGAGGAACAUCCCCCACGAGAUGCAGGUGGCAGAAGAGGCUGGGUCAGGAUCUGAUCUCAGCGUGGAGCUGCAAUAAAUCUUGCUCAAGUGAGAUGUGACUCUUCUGAGCACAGCCAGUUUGUCAUUUCCCCCCCAAGCAAACAAGCUGCUUGCUCUGCAACUCCAGCUUGCUGCUUAGCAUCGCUUAGAGUAGCUUCCUGAAAGAAAGCCCUCAGCUACCUGGAGUAAACCUGGAGAGGGAAACCACUGCUGCUGCUGCCUGUGGGCUAAGAAAGCUGUUCCAAGGAGAAGUUUGACUCUGCUGGCAGGGGGUGGAUAAGCUAAUUCAGCUUUUCUUCCCUUUGCACUGAUCAAGUAUGUGACCUUGCCUGAGUUGCCUGCUGUUGUGGUCUUCAAAGAUGGAGCUUCCUUUGUUUCUGAUGGUAAGUAAAAGUGGAUAUUGGCCAUAUCAUGGAAUCAGCCAGGCUGGAAGAGACCUCCAAGAUCACCCAGUCCAACCUAGCACCCAGCCCUAACCAAUCAACUGGACCCUGGCACUAAGUGCCUAACAACCAGCCUGUACCUCUCUUGGCACAACUUGAGACUGUGUCCCCUUGUUCUGUUGCUGGUUGCCUGGCAGCAGAGCCCAACCCUAGCUGGCUACUGCACUGCUCCUGUGCACUGCGGCCCUCCUCUGGACCUGCUCCAGCAGGUCCUUGUCUCUUCUGUUGGAGGUUCUGUAGCUGUGUGCAGUACUCCAGGUAGGUCUCACCAGAGCAGGGCAGACUCAGACUCACAGAGUCAAGCAGGUUGGAAGAGAGCUCCAAGCUCAUCCAGUCCAAUCUAGCCCCCAGCCCUGUCCACUCAACUGGACCAUGGCACUAAGUGCCUCACCCAGGCUGUUCCUGAGCGCUUCCAGACACGGUGACUCUGUGGUGCCACAGCAAAAUACUCCAGGUGGGCCCUCAAGGGUAUUCUUUGAGCUGUCAUGGAAGGGCUGUGCUUGCCUUCCUCUUCGCUCUAUUGCCUUGCAACCAGUCACCCACCAAAGAAAAGUUCACUCAGUGACCUCCUUGAUCUGCAUUUGAUUUAGUUUUACUUUUGAAGCGGCCUGGAGAAGGAAAUUUUGUCAAAGAGAAACAAUUUUAAACUGCUGUUUUGUGAUGUGACCUGUCUGCUUUUGCCACCCCUGUCAAAACACACAAGCCUUGUUUCAAUCCAGGCUCCUAAUUCACUUUGCACAAAUCUUACUCUCUUAAAAUGUAUUAGAAGGGUUUUUGUAAACCAGUCAGUGCAGAGGCCCUGCAAGAGACUGGAUAUUGUUUUAUGUGCAGCUUACCAUUGGGCAGGAAAGUGCUGUCAGUCACAGCUCCCUUCCCAUGUCACAUUCCCUGCUGGGAGAGGAUUGUUUGUCCUUGGUUUGGGUGAAACUAAUCAGCCAAUCAGCACUGCAUGCUGUGCUCUAAUACACUUUUUGUUCAACAGCUGCAAAUUGCUGUAGCAGCUUAGGAGUGACAUUUCUGGAAAGGUGAGAGACCUUGUCUGGAAACAGUAGAGGGUUAAAAAUAGGCUUCUCUAGGCUGAAAUAAAUGUUAUUGCCCACCUCACAGCAGCAACAGAAGAACACAUUCUGCUUGCUUGCUUGCUUUCUCUUUUGUUGUCAGAGUGUGAAGAUGGUGAUUUGUCAUCCUGGAUAAACAGAGCAAGAUUUCAAGGGUAUCUUCAUGUGGAUGGCUUUACACUUCAUGAACUUGGAGACAGAGGAAAACUUGUGGCUAUUGCAGUCAUUGAUGAUAAAAACUCUUCAGUGGAACAUACCAGGAACAGAACUGAGUGUUGGUGACAGUGUGGGAGAAGUUUGCUGAUAUGAUGUAGAGAACUUGGGGAAGUUUGUUAGAUCUGAAGAGAUGCCAGGACUAAAAUCUGUCACUCAGGAAGUUGCCAGAGAUUAUGGGGAUAGUUUUCACAGGGAUUUCCAGUUUGGCCACAUGGAUGGGAAUGACCACAUGAACAGUUUGCUAAUGGAGAGAGUCCCAUUUCAUUCUUGAUGCUUUCUUUAAGAGAGGCAUACAACUGAGCUCCCUCAGAGAAGCAGCAUGAAGUGCAUGAAGGAUGCUGGCUGCACUCAGUACAGACAAGGCACAUUGGAGUAGGUUAACAAGAUGCUUGACAUUUGCCCUUAAUGGUCAUUGUCUUCAAAUGCAUCAUUCGGGAGUGAAGUUGCUUGGCAUUUGCAGUUGACUACUUCUUCUCUGGCCUUUGGAGUGAAGGAAGGGAAAAACCAGAGUUGAAGAUGUCAGCUCUGUGCCAAAAAGGAGAGCUUCUUCACCUGCUUCUCCUGUGCAAGCUCUUCUGUCUGUCUGCUGAGAUGUUUCUGCCUGUUUCUCUGGCAGAGAAGUGUUUGCUUUUUUGGCUGGCGAGCUGACCAUCCGUACUACCGUCGCCUUGAAUGCCUCCAACCAGCAGUGUUUGCUGCCAGACAGACACCUGGAGAAGACAGAGGACAUGCUGCGGUGGCUCCGAUUGUUACGCCGUGUGAUUUAUCUUCCUGUCCUGGCUGUCUUCCCGUGCUGGGUGCUGGCAGUGAAUACGUGGUGAGGAGUGCUUGGGGUGUGCCAUCCUUUGCUGUUCUCACUGUGGGAACUCCAAGAGCCAUGGAAUGGGCACAGGCUGGUGAUGGACUUCUGCAACGAAGCAAGAGAGUCAUCUAUGAGGCCAAGGCUGCUGUAAUGGUAGAGUUCAUUGCUUAUUCAGUGAGGUGAUGCUCUUGUCAGUCAAGAAGGACUUAGUUGCAGAGGCUUUAGAAAUGCUUUGAUGUAAGCUUGUUGCUAUGCUGUGCCUAGUGUAUCUAUUGUCACUAUUUAGAACUAGGCUUAAACCAAAUGAACUUCUGGAUUAAAACAGCCAAUCAUGUCUGCCACA